UGCCUUUGUGUCGGUCGUCGUCUUGGAGUGGGCAAAAUGUGCGGUAUUUCUUUUUGUUGACGCUCACAACAAACGCAUACAUACAAUAGCAACAACAACAAUUGCAACAAAAUGCCAUUAUAGUAUGGGAACAGUGUAGCGAGCGCCAGCGAAUCAAUAUCCUCGCUACAAAACACUCAAAGCGCAUGCACAAAGCUUUGCCCGUGUGUGUAUGUGUGUGUGCAUUAUUGUUAUUGUAAUUUUGCUGGUGGUGAAUUUCCGUGUGACGCCACAAACCACACACGGCGCUUGUCCUGCGCUCUAACAAUGCUCAUUAGUUUGCCGUUAGUCGAAAAGAGUCGAUGCGGUUCACGCGCUCGCCUUUUGCUGUUGUCCUGUUGAAAAACUGUUUUUCGGCCCCAAACCAAUGUUUUGAAAGGAGGAAGGUUGGAUGAGGUAUACCGAUUGGCUUUUAGUAAGCGCCUCGGAAAGUCAGAGGAAGAAACGAACAAUAUUCUCGAAAGACCCAUAAACCAUUUAGCAAAAGUUAAGAGGGUAUUCUGCGAGAGUGAAGAUUAAUACACCAUGUUGCACCUACCAAAGUGGCAAUCCAUUUCCAAAACAGCAAAUAGUAAUAACUCGGCCCAGAGCCCUGAGAACAGAAGGGCCUUCUCCGACAAUAAGAAACCUACGGAGUUAGGAAAACGACUCAGAACACAUGAGGUUACCAGAAGCGUUAAAGAAGGUGAAGCAUCACGCCUCUUGCAAAGGACCGACUGAGCGGGACAGUAAUGAACCACCAGUUUGAAGGAUCGGUAAGGAGAAAAUUACUAGUGACAAGGCAGAGGGGAAAAGGAGGUCAUACGUGGAGACGGUCCGUUCCUUAAACUGCGUCGUAAUCGAUACUGGCAGACCCGUAGGAAGCAUAUAAGCGAUAUAAUUUAUAUUACAAUGACGUAAUUCAAAAAAUUUGUAAAUGCAAUUAAAGCAUGUACAGAAUAAUUUUGGUGUGACUUCGAUAAAUUAGUGUGAUAAGCAUUCUAAAUGCAGGCAAUAAUUUACUUAAAAGGCAGCCUACAUUAAUGAACUUUAAUAAAUGAGACAUGAAAUGACUAAAAUUUAAGAGAAAUAAUAAUAAAAAUUUUAUGCUUUGAA